rnacentral:rRNA from 1 species
GGACGAACGCUGGCGGCGUGCCUAAUACAUGCAAGUCGAGCGGACUUGAUGGAGAGCUUGCUCUCCUGAUGGUUAGCGGCGGACGGGUGAGUAACACGUAGGUAACCUGCCUGUAAGACUGGGAUAACUACCGGAAACGGUAGCUAAUACCGGAUAAUUCAUUUUGCCGCAUGGUGAGAUGAUGAAAGACGGAGCAAUCUGUCACUUACGGAUGGGCCUGCGGCGCAUUAGCUAGUUGGUGGGGUAACGGCUCACCAAGGCGACGAUGCGUAGCCGACCUGAGAGGGUGAACGGCCACACUGGGACUGAGACACGGCCCAGACUCCUACGGGAGGCAGCAGUAGGGAAUCUUCCGCAAUGGACGAAAGUCUGACGGAGCAACGCCGCGUGAGUGAUGAAGGUUUUCGGAUCGUAAAGCUCUGUUGCCAGGGAAGAACGNCCGGUAGAGUAACUGCUACCGGAGUGACGGUACCUGAGAAGAAAGCCCCGGCUAACUACGUGCCAGCAG